rnacentral:rRNA from 1 species
GUAGUAAUAGAUAUUUUCUUAAAACUUAAUAAAUUUGGCGGUAUUUUAAUCUGUUUAGAGGAACCUGUUUUUUAAUUGAUAAUCCACAUUGAAUCUUACUUAAUAUUGUUAAAUUUGUAUAUCGUUGUCAUAAGAAUAUUUUUUAAAAAUUAAUAAUUUUCUUUAUAAUUAAUUAAUUAAAAUGUCAAAUCAAGGUGCAGUUUAUAAUUAAGUAAAAAUGGGUUACAAUAAAAUUAUUUUUGGAAUUUAAAUUUUAAUAUUUAAAUAAAAUUGGAUUUAAUAGUAAAUUUAUUAAGAUUAUUAAAUUGAUUAAAGUUCUAAAAUGUGU